rnacentral:rRNA from 1 species
CCUACGGGUGGCAGCAGUGGGGAAUAUUGGACAAUGGGGGGAACCCUGAUCCAGCCAUGCCGCGUGUGUGAAGAAGGCCCUCGGGUUGGAAAGCACUUUCAGUGAGGAAGAACGCCUGGUGGUUAAUACCCAUCAGGAAAGACAUCACUCACAGAAGAAGCACCGGCUAACUCCGUGCCAGCAGCCGCGGUAAUACGGAGGGUGCGAGCGUUAAUCGGAAUUACUGGGCGUAAAGCGCGCGUAGGUGGCUUGAUAAGCCGGUUGUGAAAGCCCCGGGCUCAACCUGGGAACGGCAUCCGGAACUGUCAAGCUAGAGUGCAAGAGAGGAAGGUAGAAUUCCCGGUGUAGCGGUGAAAUGCGUAGAGAUCGGGAGGAAUACCAGUGGCGAAGGCGGCCUUCUGGACUGACACUGACACUGAGGUGCGAAAGCGUGGGUAGCAAACAGGAUUAGAUACCCGGGUAGUC